AACCAAGUCCCUGACCUUUGGAAGUGCCUGGUGCACCCCUGAGCCUGGCACAUGCAUCACUACACAUCUGCUGAAUGAAUGAAUGAGAGAACAAAUGAACUAUCACAGAAUAAGCACUGGGUUUAUCAGAAGACCUGACUUCAAAUCUUAAUGCUACCACAUAGCCACUCAUCACAGCCGGCGCCAGGGAGGCGAACUGGUGCCCAGGGCUCACCUUGUAACGGCACGCACUCUUGAGCAGACACAGGUGCCGAUAGCCCCUCCAGGAUGAAGCUGUGCCACCCGGUAGGAAUUAGAAGAUGAGGUCCCAGAAGUGAGCAUUGGGUGCAGGAUCCAGUUUUCUCAGGCACUGAGAUCCAUGGAGAGAAGUUGAAGCUCACACCGCUGCCUCCCUCCCUGGCCCUGGCGCCUCUCUUUAAUCAAGAAGAGCAGCAGGAAAGGAAGGAAGAUCUCAUCGCUGGAGACCAAGUGCUGUGGUCAUUAAGUGGGCCAAUUCUGGAGCCUGACUGCCUGGGUCUGAAUCCCAGCUCCAGCAUAUACUGACCUUGGGUGAGUUCUAGAAACCUGCCCCUCCUCAGAGUCCCCAUUUAUAAAUUUAUAUGGUGCCUUGACAGGAGUUAUACCAGAUAAACAGAAUCACUAUAUAUAUAUAUAUAUGUAUAUUUAUCUGGG
rnacentral:lncRNA from 1 species